CCAUCCUCCAAGGCUAAAUACUCCUGACUGACCGAUAGUGAACCAGUACCGUGAGGGAAAGGCGAAAAGAACCCCGGCGAGGGGAGUGAAAAAGAACCUGAAACCGUGUACGUACAAGCAGUGGGAGCACAGAGCAAUCUGUGUGACUGCGUACCUUUUGUAUAAUGGGUCAGCGACUUAUAUUCUGUAGCAAGGUUAACCGAAUAGGGGAGCCGAAGGGAAACCGAGUCUUAACCGGGCGUUAAGUUGCAGGGUAUAGACCCGAAACCCGGUGAUCUAGCCAUGGGCAGGUUGAAGGUUGGGUAACACUAACUGGAGGACCGAACCGACUAAUGUUGAAAAAUUAGCGGAUGACUUGUGGCUGGGGGUGAAAGGCCAAUCAAACCGGGAGAUAGCUGGUUCUCCCCGAAAGCUAUUUAGGUAGCGCCUCGUGAAUUCAUCUCCGGGGGUAGAGCACUGUUUCGGCAAGGGGGUCAUCCCGACUUACCAACCCGAUGCAAACUGCGAAUACCGGAGAAUGUUAUCACGGGAGACACACGGCGGGUGCUAACGUCCGUCGUGAAGAGGGAAACAACCCAGACCGCCAGCUAAGGUCCCAAAGUCAUGGUUAAGUGGGAAACGAUGUGGGAAGGCCCAGACAGCCAGGAUGUUGGCUUAGAAGCAGCCAUCAUUUAAAGAAAGCGUAAUAGCUCACUGGUCGAGUCGGCCUGCGCGGAAGAUGUAACGGGGCUAAACCAUGCACCGAAGCUGCGGCAGCGACACUGUGUGUUGUUGGGUAGGGGAGCGUUCUGUAAGCCUGUGAAGGUGUGCUGUGAGGCAUGCUGGAGGUAUCAGAAGUGCGAAUGCUGACAUAAGUAACGAUAAAGCGGGUGAAAAGCCCGCUCGCCGGAAGACCAAGGGUUCCUGUCCAACGUUAAUCGGGGCAGGGUGAGUCGACCCCUAAGGCGAGGCCGAAAGGCGUAGUCGAUGGGAAACAGGUUAAUAUUCCUGUACUUGGUGUUACUGCGAAGGGGGGACGGAGAAGGCUAUGUUGGCCGGGCGACGGUUGUCCCGGUUUAAGCGUGUAGGCUGGUUUUCCAGGCAAAUCCGGAAAAUCAAGGCUGAGGCGUGAUGACGAGGCACUACGGUGCUGAAGCAACAAAUGCCCUGCUUCCAGGAAAAGCCUCUAAGCAUCAGGUAACAUCAAAUCGUACCCCAAACCGACACAGGUGGUCAGGUAGAGAAUACCAAGGCGCUUGAGAGAACUCGGGUGAAGGAACUAGGCAAAAUGGUGCCGUAACUUCGGGAGAAGGCACGCUGAUAUGUAGGUGAAGUCCCUCGCGGAUGGAGCUGAAAUCAGUCGAAGAUACCAGCUGGCUGCAACUGUUUAUUAAAAACACAGCACUGUGCAAACACGAAAGUGGACGUAUACGGUGUGACGCCUGCCCGGUGCCGGAAGGUUAAUUGAUGGGGUCAGCGCAAGCGAAGCUCUUGAUCGAAGCCCCGGUAAACGGCGGCCGUAACUAUAACGGUCCUAAGGUAGCGAAAUUCCUUGUCGGGUAAGUUCCGACCUGCACGAAUGGCGUAAUGAUGGCCAGGCUGUCUCCACCCGAGACUCAGUGAAAUUGAACUCGCUGUGAAGAUGCAGUGUACCCGCGGCAAGACGGAAAGACCCCGUGAACCUUUACUAUAGCUUGACACUGAACAUUGAGCCUUGAUGUGUAGGAUAGGUGGGAGGCUUUGAAGUGUGGACGCCAGUCUGCAUGGAGCCGACCUUGAAAUACCACCCUUUAAUGUUUGAUGUUCUAACGUGGACCCGUGAUCCGGGUUGCGGACAGUGUCUGGUGGGUAGUUUGACUGGGGCGGUCUCCUCCUAAAGAGUAACGGAGGAGCACGAAGGUUGGCUAAUCCUGGUCGGACAUCAGGAGGUUAGUGCAAUGGCAUAAGCCAGCUUGACUGCGAGCGUGACGGCGCGAGCAGGUGCGAAAGCAGGUCAUAGUGAUCCGGUGGUUCUGAAUGGAAGGGCCAUCGCUCAACGGAUAAAAGGUACUCCGGGGAUAACAGGCUGAUACCGCCCAAGAGUUCAUAUCGACGGCGGUGUUUGGCACCUCGAUGUCGGCUCAUCACAUCCUGGGGCUGAAGUAGGUCCCAAGGGUAUGGCUGUUCGCCAUUUAAAGUGGUACGCGAGCUGGGUUUAGAACGUCGUGAGACAGUUCGGUCCCUAUCUGCCGUGGGCGCUGGAGAACUGAGGGGGGCUGCUCCUAGUACGAGAGGACCGGAGUGGACGCAUCACUGGUGUUCGGGUUGUCAUGCCAAUGGCACUGCCCGGUAGCUAAAUGCGGAAGAGAUAAGUGCUGAAAGCAUCUAAGCACGAAACUUGCCCCGAGAUGAGUUCUCCCUGACCCUUUAAGGGUCCUGAAGGAACGUUGAAGACGACGACGUUGAUAGGCCGGGUGUGUAAGCGCAGCGAUGCGUUGAGCUAACCGGUACUAAUGAACCGUGAGGCUUAACCUUACAACGCCGAAGGUGUUU
rnacentral:rRNA from 1 species